rnacentral:rRNA from 1 species
GACGGGUUAGUAACGCGUGGGAAUGUACCCUUCUCUAUGGAAUAGCCUCGGGAAACUGAGAGUAAUACCAUAUACGCCCUUCGGGGGAAAGAUUUAUCGGAGAAGGAUCAGCCCGCGUAAGAUUAGAUAGUUGGUGGGGUAAUGGCCUACCAAGUCUACGAUCUUUAGCUGGUUUUAGAGGAUGAUCAGCAACACUGGGACUGAGACACGGCCCAGACUCCUACGGGAGGCAGCAGUGGGGAAUCUUAGACAAUGGGCGCAAGCCUGAUCUAGCCAUGCCGCGUGUGUGAUGAAGGCCUUAGGGUCGUAAAGCACUUUCGCCAGGGAUGAUAAUGACAGUACCUGGUAAAGAAACCCCGGCUAACUCCGUGCCAGCAGCCGCGGUAAUACGGAGGGGGUUAGCGUUGUUCGGAAUUACUGGGCGUAAAGCGCACGUAGGCGGAUCAGAAAGUUGGGGGUGAAAUCCCAGGGCUCAACCCUGGAACUGCCUCCAAAACUCCUGGUCUUGAGUUCGAGAGAGGUGAGUGGAAUUCCGAGUGUAGAGGUGAAAUUCGUAGAUAUUCGGAGGAACACCAGUGGCGAAGGCGGCUCACUGGCUCGAUACUGACGCUGAGGUGCGAAAGUGUGGGGAGCAAACAGGAUUAGAUACCCUGGUAGUCCACACCGUAAACGAUGAAUGCCAGUCGUCGGGCAGUAUACUGUUCGGUGACACACCUAACGGAUUAAGCAUUCCGCCUGGGGAGUACGGUCGC